AGCCACAGCCAUGUCACCCUGCAGCCCAAGUCCGGUUACUCACUGAAGCUAAGCAGGGCUGAGCCUGGUCAGUACCUGGAUGGGAGACCACCAGGGAAUACUAGGUUGCUGUUGGAA
rnacentral:rRNA from 1 species